rnacentral:rRNA from 1 species
UACGAAGGGGGCUAGCGUUGCUCGGAAUUACUGGGCGUAAAGGGCGCGUAGGCGGAUAGUUUAGCCAGAGGUGAAAGCCCAGGGCUCAACCUUGGAAUUGCCUUUGAUACUGGCUAUCUUGAGUGCGGAAGAGGUAUGUGGAACUCCGAGUGUAGAGGUGAAAUUCGUAGAUAUUCGGAAGAACACCAGUGGCGAAGGCGACAUACUGGUCCGUUACUGACGCUGAGGCUCGAAAGCGUGGGGAGCAAACAGG